rnacentral:rRNA from 1 species
UACAGAGGUCUCGAGCGUUAGGCGGAAUCACUGGGCUUAAAGCGUGUGUAGGUGGGUCGUUAAGUGUCCGCGUGAAAUCCCACGGCUCAACCGUGGAACUGCCGGGCAUACUGGCGAUCUUGAGGCAUUCAGGGGCGAGCGGAACAAAUGGUGGAGCGGUGAAAUGCGUAGAUAUCAUUUGGAACGCCAAUGGUGAAAACAGCUCGCUGGGAAUGAUCUGACACUGAGACGCGAAAGCCAGGGGAGCGAACGGG